rnacentral:rRNA from 1 species
GACGAACGCUAGCGGCAGGCCUAAUACAUGCAAGUCGAACGGUGUCUUCGGACAUAGUGGCGCACGGGUGCGUAACACGUAUGCAACCUACCUUACAUUGGGGGAUAGCCUUUCGAAAGGGAGAUUAAUACCGCAUAAGACAGUAGCUGGGCAUCCAGCAGCUGUUAAAGAUUUAUCGAUGUAAGCUGGGUAUGCGUCCAAUUAGCUAGUUGGUGAGGUAACGGCUCACCAAGGCAAUGAUUGGUAGGGGAACUGAGAGGUCAAUCCCCCACACUGGCACUGAGAUACGGGCCAGACUCCUACGGGAGGCAGCAGUAGGGAAUAUUGGGCAAUGGACGCAAGUCUGACCCAGCCAUGCCGCGUGCAGGAUGAAGGCGUUAUGCGUUGUAAACUGCUUUUAUACAGGAAGAAACGACUCUUGCGAGAGGCAUUGACGGUACUGUAUGAAUAAGCACCGGCUAACUCCGUGCCAGCCGCCGCGGUAAUAC